rnacentral:lncRNA from 1 species
CAGCACACAGCCAGUACCUGUUGGGACUGAAGCAAAGAGCAUUGAUCGGAGCACUAGCGUCCAAAUUGUAGAGCUUCUUACCCUCAGCCAAAUCCCAUAGCAAAAUCACGUUGUCUUUUCCACCGCUGGCACACAAGGAUCCAUCAGGUGAAACAGCAACAGUGUUUACAUUCCCAGCGUGACCAGCCAAAGUGCAUCUCAGCUUGCAGUUCGUCAAAUUCCAUACCUUCACGGUACGGUCCCAAGAAGCAGAAACAAUGGUCGGCUGGAGUGUGUUGGGACUGAAGCGAACGCAGCUCACCCAAUCGGAAUGGGCAUCUCCGUCCUGAAUGGUGUACUUGCACUCUCCGAGAGUGUUCCACAGCUUGAUACUCUUGUCACGUGAAGCAGAAACGAUCUGACGGUUGUCGAUCGAGAAAGCGACGGAGAGGACAUCCUUGGUGUGACCGACGAAGCGGCGAGCAGAGACGCCGGCAGCAAGAUCCCACAGUCUGAGCUCGCCGUCCCAGGCACCAGAGAGAGCGAACUGGCCGUCGGAGGACAGGACGACGUCCUGGACGAAGCCAGAGUGGCCGGUGAGGCGGCGGCGAGCCACACCGGAGGGGGUCUCCCUCUCUGGAAGAUUCACGAAGACGAUGAUAGACUUGUCGCGGGAGGAGCUGACAAUCAUGUCGGAGUUAUCGAUCGGGGUGGCGAUGGCGGUCACCUGAUCGGUGUGAGCGCGCAUCGUCCCACGGAGAACAAGUCCGUCAGCCAUGGUGUUGGGUGAUAGGGUUUGGUGAGACGGCGAAGAGAAGGAUUGCGCGAAAGAGCUAGCUACUGCAAAGAGACUGGAAAUCAGAGCAAAGUACUUAUACUUGGGAAGGAUUCUGAAGGUGUUUUCUUCACUAGGGUUUCUAGCGGGCUGUCGCGUGCCUGGGCUGGGUUUUGAGAUAUUUAUGGGCCUUCGGGGUAUCAAUGGCCCGAGCAAUAUGGGCUUAUUACUGGGUUCUUCAGGCCUAUUCUCAGUCCAUUCAGAAAAUAUGACAAGACAUCAUUAAUUACACUUCUGUGACCAACUGAAUAACUGGGAACCUCUACUCGGAAUAUUUUGACUUGCUAGAACUUACAGCUAUUGAUGAACAAUGGUCCAGUUUAAAAAAGGUAUUGAGUUUGUUUAUAUUGCCAGAUCACUCAACAGUUGCAACAGCCGUAGCUGCAUUUUGAUUUUUCAUCAAGACUUAGCUAAUUUCGAUUGUGUUAUCAAGAUCAUCAAUACAAAACGUGGUCAAAAUUGUAUUCGCAUGUCGAGAAUCAGCAUGUAGACAUAACAAGGAAUUCAUUAUGAAACAUCAAAGCAAUGGCUUCAGUGACAUACGUAUGAACAAAGAUGGGAAGUUUGAAAAACUUUUGUUUGUGGUAAAAGAGAAUGAUAAUUGGAUAAAGGGACGCAAUGCCAUAGAAAUAGAAUAGUAAACUGUGUAAUCGAGAAAAGAUUCCAGCUUUAGGGCUCUCAUAAACCAAAAACUAAUAUCCAACAUCUGGAAAACUUUUUAAGAGAUUCGUCGCUACCAACACAAAAACCUUACACGGUGUUUAGGAAAUUAUCAAUCCAACCUACGACAAGGUUACAUCUCUCAAUAACGGCCGAUGCCCCAAACUCUGAUCACUCCGUCUGUGUAUCCGCUGAACAAUGUGCUUCCAUCCGCACUCCAGUUUAAGCAUGUGCAGUAUAUGUUCUGCGUCCAAAUUAAGAGAAUCAAGGUUAUCAAUGGAAGAGAUUCGAACUUCCAAUUCCACAAACAAUACACAUCAUCGAGUAUAAAAGCAAGACAAGAUGGUCUUGUUCAUAUUAGAUGUCUAGCAACAAAUUGAAUGGCUUGCUGUUGGCAAAAAUCCUCAUUUCUACACAAAUUUGUAAUUAACAACCUCCAUCCUAAUUCCGAACAUACUGUGAUAAACAUCUAAGAGAAAGCUUCUUCCUAGCCCAACUUCAGUUUUGCUAUACAUUGUAAUUAGCAACCAACUUAUCAACCCAAAACUAUAGAUAACAGACAUAAAAAUUACGAAUGUGAUUAUCACAAAUUGUAUGUCAUAAGAAUUAUACAAAGCAUCAAAUGAAGCUAACUAACUAAGCAAGAUACAGUAGGGUUUAGGAAACCCCCCAAUUAUCAUCUACAGGAACAUAGCACACAAAAUAGUUGUAUAAAGAAACCAAUUAAUUGCAAAAGUAAUGGCAAAGAAAAUAUACCUUCUUCAAAGAGGGAGCUGCACCUUCGGAUUUCUCGGCCUCAGCCUUGAGAUCAACCUUCAAAUCCUCAACAAUGCUCUUGCUCUCCAAAUCCCAUAUCUUAAUGCUGUUCUCAGUAGCAGCACACAGCCAGUACCUGUUGGGACUGAAGCAAAGAGCGUGGAUAGCAGCACUAGCGUCCAAAUUGUAAAGCUUCUUACCCUCAGCCAAAUCCCACAGCAAAAUCGUAUUGUCUUUCCCACCACUUGCACACAAGGAGCCAUCAGGUGAAACAGCAACAGUGUUCACAUUACCAGCGUGACCAGCCAAAGUGCACCUCAGCUUGCAGUUAGUCAAAUUCCAUACCUUGACGGUACGGUCCCAUGAGGCAGAAACAAUGGUUGGCUGGAGAGUGCUGGGACUGAAGCGAACGCAG